AUUACAACAUGCUCUUCAUUACCAAACCUUAAUGGAAACAUGAACGAAGAUGCAAUUCCAAUAAAAAUGAGAAUUACGUAUUCAAUUGUAAACUACUAAUAUAGCUUUGAUUAAUUAAAGCAAAAAUAAUUGAAAGAACAAAACCAUUUUGGAAGUCUGAUAAAGGUUUAGCAUAUAUACUGGAACUUGGAUAAGGGUUUGUCAGCAAUGUUAUCAAACUAGUCCAAACCACUUGAUUGAAGCAGCAAAUGUACAACUCCAUGCCAUCCAAGCCUAAAUAAAUCAUGAAUUUUUUUUUUAUUUUAGUUUUGUUAACUUCAAAUGGUUAAAACAUUCAAGCUCAACAUAUAUAAUUUCUUGUUGUACAGAUUCUCAAAUUGGCUGUUAGCUUCUCACAACCAUUUAUGUCACAAAGUAAAAUUUAGAGAUAGAUAUACCUAUAAAAUAAAACCAAUGAGCUUAGAAUUGGUUCUCUCUAUGACAGGCACCACUUGCAGCUGGUGCUUUGAAAGAAGCAGCCGAACAUGGAAGAGUGUUUCAUCCAAGUGUAGGGGGAAAUACAAAUCCCAGAUAAACGACUUAGCUAACUCGCCAAUCUGUUAGAAUUAAAUAAAAGUGCUCAUAAAAAUGUUAAACAAUGUGUAUAAAAGUAUCACUUUAAAGUUCUAAACUACAAGUUCACAAUGAAGGCCUGGUGUUAUAACUUGGUUGGUACUCCAACAUAUAGCUAAGAAGAUUGCAACACUGGUUUCUCUGCCUUGUAAGAAUAUGAACAUGAGAUUAGGUGAUCUGGCAUUAGCUAUUUGAGACCAAUUGGUAUAAGAAAGCCUUAUGGGAAGAUGUAUACUAGUUCUUGUCAAUAGAGGAUUAUAUUGUAGUAAUGAACUGAUAUGGAUUGGCAAAACAUAAGUUGUUUUCCAUAAGGAUUCUAAUAGGGAGUUCUUAUUUUGUUAUGAGAAGAGAUAUGUGUAUAUGUAUAUAUAUAGCGAUCUCUCCUCUCACAGGAUCAUGCUUUUUUGGAACUAAACCCCAUUCUUAGUUUGAGCAAUAAGCAUCCCGAUAGAGAAAAGAUGAGCUGGUGUGCAUUCAGGUUAAUCGUGAAUAACCAUGGUUGCAUCCAAUGGAAGUUCUUCAGGUUAGUAUGCUUCAACCUUACAUGGAUUAGUGUUCUAUAUUUUGUUCGGUUGUUAUUCGAAUAACUGAAUCUUGUUUGUGGUUUAGAAUUAACAUGUGGUAUCAGACCCAUAGAUUCAGGUUCUUAAAUUCAAUCAACAAAAUCGAUAGAAUCCUAAUAUAAAAAAAAAAAAAAAAAAAAUCAUCUUUACUACCAUUAGGUUUUGAAACUGGUUCUAGACUUAAAACUGGGUCCAGGAAAAACAGUGUGUUUUAAUAAAAUAUGAUUGUUUAAUUUUUUUUUAUCGUUAGAACUCAAAGCCUAUCUACUUAUGGGGGUUUUCUCGAAUUAGGAAUACAACAAUUUACCUUUUCAAUUUCGAAUUUUGUUGAUUUGGGUUGUUCAAGUUGUUGUUGAGUCUUCAAUAUAUAUAAUAAAGGGAACUUUAAUGAAAAGCUCCCGGUACUGUUCACCUUAACGAAAAAUCACAUUUUUACACUAAAAAGUUAAUCCUAGUACUAUUCACUUUACCCUUUAUUUGUCCUUAUCGUUAAAACUCAAAGUUUUCAAGCCAUUUUCAUUAGUUUUCCUUAUUAUUAAAUGCUUUCACGCGUGGGUAUUGAUACUCAUUGAACGAAAGGAUAUGUCUUCUAAGCAUUGGAUUGAAAUUUGGAUUUUGAUCCAUCUUAUCUCUAAUAUAUUCCUUUCUUCAACAUGAUUUGAAUAACAAACAUCACGAUUACGCUUAUUUCUGUUUUUUAAUCCCAUGAUUAUGCAUUUUCUCUAAUUGUCUAUGGAAGAAAGUUUAGCUUGGACCUUCUACAGACAUCACUUGUUUUAUGAAAAAAAAAAUUGAUGAACUAAGAAUUGUUUAUCUGAGACAAAUCCAUUAUAAUGUUGAGAUGGUUGUCCAUGAUUACAUAACAAUUAAUUCUUAAUGUUCUGCAAAACCUUUUAUUCUAUAUGUGCUUAUCAACCUUUCAUUGUUAAGAUUAUGCAUAUGCAUAAUAGUUUUGAUGAUAGGAUGUACAAUAGACUGAGAAAAGAAAUUUGGAACCUAAAAGUCUUUUGUGAUUUCAUUAUUUUCUUCAGUGUCUACAAUAUCAAUGAAGACCCUCAAUUUGGCUAACAUUCCAAUCCUCACUGGUGGGGGUAAUUACAAGAAGUGGAGAAUGGACAUUAGUUUGCUAUUAACUCUAAAUGAGUUUGAUAUAGCAAUUGAUAAUCUCAAGCUUGUCAUCAAUUGUCAGAGCACCUGAGCUGAAAAUGCAGAUUUUGAGAGAUGGACAAGAGCUAAUAAAAUGGCACUAUCUAUCCUAGAGAGUGGUAUUACUGAUACAAUUCGAGGAGGAAUCAAGACACCUGAUUUGGCUGUUAACUACUUGAAUGCAACUGAAAAGAAAUUUAAAGAAUUUGAGAAAGCUGAAGUGUGACUAUACAUAUCUCUAUUGACUGCAUACAAGAUUAAGGGUACUUGUCACGCCCCGAUCCCGACAUACGUCCAAGAUCAACACGUGACGUCACCAAAUACCCGUAUAUCUAUCAUACCUCGCCUCCUGAAUAUAUACAAAGUAUCCUUCAAGAUCCAGAUGCACAAUAAUUUUUCGUAUACUUUAUGGUUGCAUCUAACCUCUUCAUUAGACUGCCUACGUACCCUCAAUAGAGAUCAAGUCAUUCGUAAUUCACCUUAUCACAAAAUCAGACGUUUAUUCACUAAGUUCAAGCAAAAAAGCAUAGCAUUCCUCAAUCAUUUAUUAUAACCUGACAACAUGUAAUUCCUGGACUCAGGCUACAUAACCAAUCCCCAUGAAAACAUGAUUUCUCUCUCACAAACAUAUAAAUCAUUAUGUCUCAUCAUGAUAUCGCAAUUCACAACACACAUCAUAUUUAAGAGCCGACGAAACACAAAACCAUUCUCUAGCCGCAUUAAUUAAUUAAUUUGAUCAAAGUAAUAACAAUCAUUCCCAUAUCUUCUAAAUUCAUACCUUAUGAAAUCAUAAUCGAAUCAUAGAAAAUCCCGAAUGAUAUCCUAUAAAAUGUACCAAGUACAACCAAUCAUCAUCACCUCUAGAAUGCGUAUGGUCCCCCAUCGCGGAUAUACCAAGCAGAACCAUAGGCAUAAUAUCAUCGUGCAAGCAGUGAUCACCCAUCGCGGAUAUACCAAGCAUGAUCACCCCUGAAUACAUAUGGUCCCCCUUCACAGAUAUACCAAGCAGGACCACAUCCAUGUACCACUACUACGUGGUGCAAUCUCAUCAUCACACAUUAAACAUAAUUAUACGCAUACAUGUUAUCGAUUCUACAUAUCAACCAACAUCUAGUCAUAUGGAACACAACACAAGGAAUUCCCUUAAUUACUAUUUCUACUAAAAAUCUAAUAAAGUACCUAACUCAUUUCCAUCUCAAGCUAGGUAGUAAUGCCAAGUUCAAAUAGGUAUUCAGUUGGCAAUCAUAUCCAAAUAAUUAUCAAACAAUAAUUAAAUCUCAUAAUUGUCAUAACAUUCAUCAUAAUUAUCAAUCACAUUAUUAAAAAGAUAAUUAAACACAUAUAUAUCACAAACAUCAUCAGUGUACAAGCCAAAUCCUAUUUAAUAAGCAUAGGCCUAUGGCUAAAUAUAUAAAAUCACAUUUAUAAAACCAAGUCGUAAUCACAAUUGAUAUUAAUAUAAGAAUUUAAGGUAAUCACCAUAGCCCAUAUAUUCAAGUCACUCUCUAACCAAUGUAGGCCCACUAGGCAUCACUGUGUCUCCCGUAGUACUAAUUUUAGUAUUUAGAACGUUUUGAGACAUGUUGACCAAAAGUCAACUCUCGAUCAAAGGUAGGGUUCACAAUUCUACAUAACUCGAUCCAUAAGAUCCACACGUUGGAUUUCAGAUCUGCAAUUUUUGUAAAAUUCACAUUAUUCCUCUAAAACAACAUACUAAAAUUUCAUCACGAUCCGACGGUUGGAUCUCCAACAAUUUCAAAAUUCAAGUGCGCGAGCGACAUUUAAUUUUACAAACUUAAAAAUCUAAUUAGGGAAGAUCCGUACGUCGGAUUCCCGAUCUGUAAGUUUCUAUAAUCCACAAAUGUUAUGUUCUAUCACGCAUUAAGGUUUGGUGACGAUCCAAUAGUCGGAUCGUCAAAUCAUAUUUUUGACCAAACCACGUAUCGUAAUGAAAUUAGGUUCAACGAUCAAUCCAUGUCAUACGAAUAUCAAAUACAAAGUUAGGACAUCUAAUUGAACUUAGAAAGUCAUCAUCGGGCCACUGGCCACGUGCCACCGUAGGUGGCUGUCGGCCACCCAAACUUGCCGGAAAAUUCAACUAUUUUAAAAAAUUAUGAAAUUUUACAGGCAAGUAGAUCUCAGUGAGGGGAACAAUUUUCAUACCUGUGAACAAGGACAAUUUUUCCGGGAAACACCUCGAUUUUACACAAACCCGCACUAACCCUAGAAAAGGGUGUGCUUCGAUUCGGAAUCCAUACGAGCUCCGAUGCCUCCACCACUGCUUGGGCUUUGUUCCUGGGGUUGAGAGGAGUCCUUUUGUGGUGGUCAUUGAUGGUAAAGCUUGCCGGAGCCACUGGAAAAAGGAUAAAACCGUCCUGAUACCUGUGGGUUUGUGGCUUCGAACUGAAAAAAUGGGAAAUAAAUUGAGAAAUCUAACACUACAAAGAUGUAGGGCUCGUUAAGGGCUUUCCAUGGACAUCAAGAUCACCCAAAACAGAGUUCGUAUGAAGGAGAUAUGAGCGAUUCAAUUUUGAUGGUUCGCGGGUCAAAAUGACCAAUUUCGGGUCUACCUCCUUUCCCCUCCUUUCCUCCUCUUUGAUUGGCU
rnacentral:lncRNA from 1 species